ACUGCAAAGAACAUCACGAAGGCUGUGAUGAAGUUCACGGGGAAUGCAGUAGUCUGAGAGAAGCGUGUGUCAUCUGGCAUACAGACCCCCUCUGCCCAGGUCCUCCUUAGGGGUGCAGGAAGCCACCUGCACAGAACCUGCCACACACCUGGCAGACUGAAGGGCCACCUGUCACUCCAUCUGCUCCAACCGCACCUGACGUCAGCACCAACACGCUCGCACACAGUGGAUGCUGGUGUCACAUGGCUGGGCAUGUGGUGGAAGGCGAGUCUCUCUGUCUCAAUCGAGUAGAUUUAAUCCAGGAUACCAAUAUCUCUCUCCAAAUGUGACCUGAAGGAGAACAGGCCUGUGAAAGGCAUUUUAAGUUUGCAAAAAUCUUUCCACUAGCUGGAGCACAGAAUCGAUGCAUCUAGUCCUUUCCAAGGGGGCAGAGUAUGAACGUCCAGCCGGCUGUCACUGGAGAACUUCUCCUGUUGUUGAGUCCUAAUAAACCCAUGUCCACUUCUGUGCCGGGUGUGUUUUUCAAUCUAGCAGCUACACCCUCCCAGGCUCCAUGUGAAUUUGGUCUGGGCUUGAACACCAUACUUGUCCUGCAUUCCGGCAAUACUGUGCUGCUUGCAAUUCCUCAGUACAAGAAAGACCUUCUAUCCUUGGCAUAUUUUCCUCUAAAACUCCUGCUCCAUUUGCAAAGCUCACUCCAGGCAAGUUCCUCUCCACUGCACUCACACCACACCUGUCCUCUUUGCCCUCCCUGCCCUCAUCACACAGGUUAUAACUGUUUGUCUGUCUCUGCCAAUAGUCUGUGACCUCCUCAAUAUUAAGGGCUGUGUCUUUUUCCUCUCUGUAAUGCCCCCUGGACACAUAAGAAGCACACAGUAAAUAUUUAUGGAAGGAAGAGAAGGUGUGCCAGUUCAAUGUGUUGUGUUCCCCAGAAUGCCAUUAUCUUUGAUGCAAUCUUGUGUGGGCAGACAUAUAAGUGUCGUUUAGAUUUUGGAACCCUUUAGGUGUUUCCAUGGAGAUGUAUUUCAAUCAACUGUGGACAAGACCUUUGGUUGGAUAAUUUCCAUGGAGGUUGUGCCCCACGCUUUUCAGGGUGGAUCUGAAUUAAACUA